rnacentral:rRNA from 1 species
AUUGAACGCUGGCGGCAGGCCUAACACAUGCCAGUCGAGCGGAUGAAGGGAGCUUGCUCCUGGAUUCAGCGGCGGACGGGUGAGUAAUGUCUAGGAAUCUGCCUGGUAGUGGGGGAUAACGUCCGGAAACGGGCGCUAAUACCGCAUACGUCCUGAGGGAGAAAGUGGGGGAUCUUCGGACCUCACGCUAUCAGAUGAGCCUAGGUCGGAUUAGCUAGUUGGUGGGGUAAAGGCCUACCAAGGCGACGAUCCGUAACUGGUCUGAGAGGAUGAUCAGUCACACUGGAACUGAGACACGGUCCAGACUCCUACGGGAGGCAGCAGUGGGGAAUAUUGGACAAUGGGCGAAAGCCUGAUCCAGCCAUGCCGCGUGUGUGAAGAAGGUCUUCGGAUUGUAAAGCACUUUAAGUUGGGAGGAAGGGCAGUAAGUUAAUACCUUGCUGUUUUGACGUUACCAACAGAAUAAGCACCGGCUAACUUCGUG